rnacentral:rRNA from 1 species
UACGAAGGGGGCGAGCGUUGUUCGGAAUUACUGGGCGUAAAGGGCGCGCAGGCGGCCCUUGAAGUCAGGCGUGAAAGCCCCGGGCUCAACCUGGGAGGUGCGCUUGAUACUCGAGGGCUUGAGUGCGGGAGAGGAGAGUGGAAUUCCCAGUGUAGAGGUGAAAUUCGUAGAUAUUGGGAAGAACACCGGUGGCGAAGGCGGUCCGCUGGGGUGUUGCUGACGCUGAGGCGCGACAGCGUGGGGAGCAAACAGG